rnacentral:lncRNA from 1 species
CCUGCGUAGCCGGCGGGCUGGCAGUGAGACUGACUGCGUCGGGGUUGAGACUGGGUGGAUGAGGCUCACCCCGGCGGGGAGAAGGGACGAGGAGGGGCGGACAGCGGAAGGUCCGGGAGUGUCCGCCAUAAAGUCGUUUGAGGUGACCGUUGCGUAAUUGUGAGUCUGUGAGAGAAGAUGUGAAGUAUGGCCUCGUCCCGGUCAUCUGGGCGUGCGGGUCCCGGGUUUUGAUCGCGCGUUUGUGUAGUUUUAACUUCUAGUCAUGGCGAAUGAUCGCAGGAGAGCACAGACUGGACCCUGCUACGAUCUCUCUUGGAGUGGAUCAGACUGAUGAUCACCAACAACCAACUCAUUCCCGGAUAAGGAAGAAGAGAGUGUCACCUACUUCAGUGUGGUUUCAACCCUACUUCUGCAUCUUAAAGACACUGUAUGGUUUCAGCAGUAGUGCCCCUGUUCAUUAGUCCCCCUGAUGUUUUCAUUCCUCAUCUCAUCUUUUUCUUAGCAGCAUUCAAUGAAUCCUUCAUUCUAGAAACACUCUAUAUCUUUGGUUUUCAUGAGACCAUUCUCACCUUGUUUUGUCCUGUGACUUUUUUGAAAAAAACAAAAACAAAAAACCCUUUUUUUCUUUUUAAAUUCUGGUAAAAAACACAAUGAAAAUUUGCUAUCUUAACCAUGUUGAAAUGUGCAGUUAGUAAAGUACAUUCACAUUGUGGUGCAAGCCAUCACUACCAUCCAUCACUAGAACCCUUUUCAUCUUGCAGAUCUGAAACUCUACCCAUUAAACGACUUCCCAUCUUCCCAUCCCCACAGCUCCUAGCAACCAACAUUCUACUUUCUCUAUCAGUUUGACUACUCUAGGUACCUCAUAUGAGUAGAAUCAUACAGCAUUUAUCCUUCUCUGCCUGGCUUAUUUCACUUGUAUAAUGUCCUCAAGGUUCAUUCAUGUUGUAGCAUGCAUCAGAACUUCCUCCCCUUUUAAAGGCUGGAUAAUAUUUCAUGUGUACAACGUUGGACACUGUGCAGGAUGAUGCCACUUCAUCUUGGAUGCUAAUCUGCCAUGUUGACUUCUGAUUAACCCCAGGCCCAGGAAUGCCUCAAGAUUUCUACUUUACUUACUGUUGCUUGUGUAAGCCAAGACAACCUUGAUGUUAUCAUAAACAUGUACUUACCUAAGUCCUGUCCUUUGGCAAAUUAUGGGCUAUGAGACACAGCAUUCUUGCCUUUCCCUGAGGGGUCAAUUUCAGCGAUCCUACACAUUCCUUCUGAAGCACUUAUGCUCUUUCUAUAUGGUAUGUAAGCUCUCGGUCUGGGGAGUAACAGUGCAGAGAUCUACCUGUCUUGUUGCCACAUGUUUCUAAACUUUCCAAUAAAUCACCUUCUACUGACAA